CAGUGACCGAGUGGAUAACGCGAUCGCGUUUGAAGCGAAAGGUACUGGGUUCGAGUCCCAGAGUGAA
rnacentral:tRNA from 1 species